CAUGCCCGGCUGCCGCUCCCGCGGACGGCUGCUCCUGCCACGCAAGCGAGCGACUGGUCGCUGUCGUAUCGUGGCGGAGGUGCAGCGGUACAAUAUCCCGAGGCUUGGACCCGACGGCCGGCAGAACUGGGGCCGCGGCUAGCGCUCAAGCUCCGCCCCAGGCUCCUAGCGCCCCUCCCCCCCAGCGCAAACCCCUCUUUUGCGCGGCGCUUCCGGCUGCGCCUAGCCAAAUCCCAGGACUUGUGAGGGUCACGUGUCGCAGGACAGCCCAAUCAGCGUGAUGUGGGAGAAAGAAGAGUCUAUGGAAUCAAAGAACCUGGGAGGCCAGCCCCUGUACUAUCUUAGACCUCCGGUUCCUAAUCUGUACAUUGAGGUGAUUGUAAAAUUGCUUGUGAAAUGUAAAACUUGACACAAAUCGUUGUCUGGUUUACUUUGGAUAUAUAAAAAUAUUGCUCUU